UCGAGCGGAACGAUGGUAGCUUGCUACCAGGCGUCGAGCGGCGGACGGGUGAGUAAUGCUUAGGAAUCUGCCCAGUAGUGGGGGAUAGCCCGGGGAAACCCGGAUUAAUACCGCAUACGCCCUUUUGGGGAAAGCAGGGGAUCUUCGGACCUUGCGCUAUUGGAUGAGCCUAAGUCGGAUUAGCUAGUUGGUGGGGUAAAGGCUCACCAAGGCGACGAUCCGUAGCUGGUCUGAGAGGAUGAUCAGCCACAUCGGGACUGAGACACGGCCCGAACUCCUACGGGAGGCAGCAGUGGGGAAUAUUGGACAAUGGGGGCAACCCUGAUCCAGCCAUGCCGCGUGUGUGAAGAAGGCUUUCGGGUUGUAAAGCACUUUCAGUGAGGAGGAAGGCCUUAAGAUUAAUACUCUUAAGGAUUGACGUCACUCACAGAAGAAGCACCGGCUAACUCCGUGCCAGCAGCCGCGGUAAUACGGAGGGUGCAAGCGUUAAUCGGAAUUACUGGGCGUAAAGCGCGCGUAGGUGGUUGAGUAAGCGAGAUGUGAAAGCCCCGGGCUUAACCUGGGAACGGCAUUUCGAACUGCUCGACUAGAGUGUGGUAGAGGGUAGUGGAAUUUCCUGUGUA
rnacentral:rRNA from 1 species